rnacentral:rRNA from 1 species
AGUCGAGCGGUAGCACAGAGAGCUUGCUCUCGGGUGACGAGCGGCGGACGGGUGAGUAAUGUCUGGGAAACUGCCUGAUGGAGGGGGAUAACUACUGGAAACGGUAGCUAAUACCGCAUAACGUCGCAAGACCAAAGUGGGGGACCUUCGGGCCUCAUGCCAUCAGAUGUGCCCAGAUGGGAUUAGCUAGUAGGUGGGGUAACGGCUCACCUAGGCGACGAUCCCUAGCUGGUCUGAGAGGAUGACCAGCCACACUGGAACUGAGACACGGUCCAGACUCCUACGGGAGGCAGCAGUGGGGAAUAUUGCACAAUGGGCGCAAGCCUGAUGCAGCCAUGCCGCGUGUGUGAAGAAGGCCUUCGGGUUGUAAAGCACUUUCAGCGGGGAGGAAGGCGAUGAGGUUAAUAACCUUGUCGAUUGACGUUACCCGCAGAAGAAGCACCGGCUAACUCCGUGCCAGCAGCCGCGGUAAUACGGAGGGUGCAAGCGUUAAUCGGAAUUACUGGGCGUAAAGCGCACGCAGGCGGUCUGUCAAGUCGGAUGUGAAAUCCCCGGGCUCAACCUGGGAACUGCAUUCGAAACUGGCAGGCUAGAGUCUUGUAGAGGGGGGUAGAAUUCCAGGUGUAGCGGUGAAAUGCGUAGAGAUCUGGAGGAAUACCGGUGGCGAAGGCGGCCCCCUGGACAAAGACUGACGCUCAGGUGCGAAAGCGUGGGGAGCAAACAGGAUUAGAUACCCUGGUAGUCCACGCUGUAAACGAUGUCGAUUUGGAGGUUGUGCCCUUGAGGCGUGGCUUCCGGAGCUAACGCGUUAAAUCGACCGCCUGGGGAGUACGGCCGCAAGGUUAAAACUCAAAUGAAUUGACGGGGGCCCGCACAAGCGGUGGAGCAUGUGGUUUAAUUCGAUGCAACGCGAAGAACCUUACCUGGUCUUGACAUCCACAGAACUUUC